rnacentral:rRNA from 1 species
UAGGGAAUCUUCGGCAAUGGGGGGAACCCUGACCGAGCAACGCCGCGUGAGUGAAGAAGGUUUUCGGAUCGUAAAGCUCUGUUGUUAAGGAAGAACGAGUGUGAGAAUGGAAAGUUCAUACUGUGACGGUACUUAACCAGAAAGGGACGGCUAACUACGUGCCAGCAGCCGCGGUAAUACGGAGGAUACGAGCGUUAUCCGGAUUUAUUGGGUUUAAAGGGUGCGUAGGUGGCUGAUUAAGUCAGUGGUGAAAAGCUAUGGCUCAACCAUAGUCUUGCCGUUGAUACUGGUUAGCUUGAGUGUAGAUGAUGUAGGCGGAACGUGUAGUGUAGCGGUGAAAUGCAUAGAUAUUACGCAGAACUCCGAUUGCGAAGGCGGCUUACAAAACUACUACUGACACUGAGGCACGAAAGCGUGGGUAUCAAACAGG